GUCCUCUUCUCCCUCUUCCUACUUCUUCGACUUUCCACCCCCUCCAUUGGCCACAGCUAGUUCUUUCCCUCUCUCUCUCUCUCUCUCUCCUACUAUUUCUCUCUUUUUCUUAUUGGCACUAGCAGAGGUAUUGUAAAGCCGAGAAGCAAGCAGUCCUCCAGUCUCUGACAGUUCGGUCGAGCGUUCAGUGUGCGCGUAAUCGCGAAACAUUUUGCUUUGGUUAGUGCGCUUGCUUGUGCUGGCUACAAAAAGGAGUUACGAAAAAUAAAAUAAUACGUUAAUUACAAUAAUCAAGAGGAGCAGAGGAAGAACCCCAGACUGUUGCCGACGUCUUCUUCUAAAACAUAAUUUAAAUAUACAAGGAUAAUACCUCGAGAAA